UACGUAGGUGGCAAGCGUUGCUCGGAAUCACUGGGCGUAAAGCGCACGUAGGCGGAUUGCUAAGUCAGGGGUGAAAUCCUGGAGCUCAACUCCAGAACUGCCUUUGAUACUGGUGAUCUUGAGUCCGGGAGAGGUGAGUGGAACUGCGAGUGUAGAGGUGAAAUUCGUAGAUAUUCGCAAGAACACCAGUGGCGAAGGCGGCUCACUGGCCCGGUACUGACGCUGAGGUGCGAAAGCGUGGGGAGCAAACAGG
rnacentral:rRNA from 1 species